AGUUUACGAAGACAAAAGAGGAAUGACGACUCAGCAUAUUGUAAUUAUCCAGUUGAUAUUUAUCUUGUUCCAGUCACCUUUAGAAAGCUGUUUGGCAAGGGCAGUGACUGGAAGCUGGGAGAGAGGGUCAACAGCUGAAUCUCAGCCUGAUGGAGGCCACCAUUUAAUAAGUAAAUACAUGCACGGCUAUUUAGAUCCUGCAUCAGACAGGUCAUCAGAAAACAUGAAGCUAAAUGCAGUAAAGAAUUACUCUCUUGAACUCUUGAAAAUAUCAAAAACAUGAAGCUAAAUGCAGUAAAGAAUUAGUCUCUUGAACUCUUGAAAAUAUCAUUUUCUUAUAGAAAUGGUUUAAAAAUUUCUUUUUUAUUAUUUCUAAUUUUCCUUCAGAAAAUUGUGAGUUUUAACCUACAACACAUACACUCCAAGGUAAUGCCACUCUAAUGCUGUCUAGUUGAUCUGAAUAACUAACUGGUCAAUUAUCAGAUCCACCAAACUGUCUCUCUGGAGAUUAACUUCUGCCAGCAUAUUGGUUUCUGUUCAUUUUCACAAGAUUGACAGGCUCAUUACAGCAAUAUUAACAUCUUCCUUUGAGCACUCACACUGUGCAAUUGUAAUUUUGCAUAUGUUGAUGAGCAGGCAAUUACAUCAAAGAGUGAACACUGGGCUGAUGUGCAAGGCACUAUUUAAUUAUAAAAACAGUAUAGGAUUGAGCCCUGUCACUGAGUCUUCCAUUCCUUCUAUCUCGCCUGUUUCUAAUUUAUUUCUCUAUUUCUUCAUUUCUUCCUUGACUGUCUUCAUUCUUUGCUUUUUAUUUCUUUCUCCUUAAAUGACAGACCUUUUCUUAGAUGCCAUUUCUCUAUGUCUGCGCUUAAGACAAGAAUUUUUUUCCUCCUAGUUGUUGGUUAAUGUCUGCAAAUGUGAGAGCAUGUUAACAUGACAAACAACAAGGAAUUUGAAAUAAACUUAAA
rnacentral:lncRNA from 1 species